rnacentral:rRNA from 1 species
UACAGAGGAGCCAAGCGUUGUCCGGAUUUAUUGGGCGUAAAGAGCUCGUAGGCGGCUUGUCGCGUCGUCCGUGAAAACCUGGGGCUCAACUCCGAGCUUGCAGUCGAUACGGGCAGGCUAGAGUGCGGCAGGGGAGACUGGAAUUCCUGGUGUAGCGGUGAAAUGCGCAGAUAUCAGGAGGAACACUGGUGGCGAAGGCGGGUCUCUGGGCCGAUACUGACGCUGAGGAGCGAAAGCGUGGGGAGCAAACAGG